UUUCCAUUAAAAUUAGUGAGUAACAAAAUUUGUAUCUGGUUUCCUGUUGCUCUUCUCCUUCUAAGAUUCUGCAAAUUAUGAGCAUAUCUAUAUCUUUCACCACAAUCAUUUUAUUCGUUCACAAAAUUGUAACAUGAUAAUCGUUGUUUCAGCGUUCAAUCAUUCGUACAAAUCCCCGAUUCUUCAAUUCGAUUUCGAACUUUACCCAAAUCAUCAUCCAGGAAAAACCCUAGCACUUCAUCCCCGGAACGCCCUGUAGAAAAACCCGGAUUUAAAUCCCAAACUGACUCAGAUGAUGAUGAGAACAUAGAUGAAGUCGCACCUUCUUCACCUUUCGGUUCCAUUUCAUCCAAGCCAUUCGCGUUGUUGAUUUAAAAUUUUAGAGAGAAGCUUAAGUUAGAUGAACUUGGAAUGGAGAUCAUGUCGAUCGGAUUGCUAGCUGCAUUAGCUCUUCCUGCUUUUUCGUAGUCUUUUUGGGAGAAUUUGAAUCCGAUUUGCACUUGUUGUAUCAAUUCUUUGCUAGUGUUAUCAUCUUGUGUAAUGACAAUCGAUUUUCAUGCUUUGUUCAUGUGGACGUUACCUAGGUUGAACAAAGAUAAAGCAGACAUUUCAUGGAAUUUUGAUCCAACUAUGUCGAAAAGGUUCUGGGAGCUUUCUGUUGUGAUUGUAUCUUCCAUUGCUUCUGAGUAAAUCUCCAUUCCGAGUUCAUGAAGAUCUAAAUAUGGAUCUGUAUCGAAUCCUACAUGGCUCUCGAAGACUCUUAAGAACUGGACAAUCCAUUCCUUUUUGGAAUUCGUGAUUCCUUCUAAUUUUCCCUCAGAAACAAUGGGAAAUUGUUCGUUUUAGAAGAGCUCAUUGGUUCUUUAUCUGGAGUAAUUUCCACUAGGUUUCUUCAAUUGACAAUGUUUUCUCAAAAAAAAAAAAAAUUAUCCAAUUCUCAUAUAAGCAUUUGAUGUAUCUAGUUACUCCUUUUAGGCUUUGCUGAAUUGGCUGUUGUUGGCGUUUCCAUAUCAAUAUUCAAUCUGGUAGCAAAAUUGUUCAAUAUUCCUCUACUCAAUAUCACAACCUCAUUUGUUGCUGAAGAAGAAGCAGUAUUAGUUAAGGAUGAUGAUGACUCCACUUUUCUCAGCCAUGAUAUCAUGAGUGGAAGCAAGAAGAAGUUUCUUCCAUCUGUUUCAACUUGUUUAGCCUUAGCUGCUGCUUUUGGGAUUGGGGAGACAAUAACACUUUUCUUUGCAUCAGGAUCAAUAUUGAACCAUUGUUGUUGUAACAUAGCUCAAGAAGAAGGGUAAAAAAAAGAGACGUUGGGGAACAUUAUGAAAGAAGAUGGCAACGGUGGGGAUCUUUAAAAGGAAUUAAGCCAAAAAAGGUUUAUGCAAAAAUGGUCCCUUACAUAUGAAAUGACGAAUAUACCCUCACAUGUAAGGCACAUGAGGGAGUUAACAGAUCCUUUUUAACGGGAGUUAAGUCCGGGGACUAAUUGCACAUACAAACCACUCCAAAAGGACCAUGAAUCCAAAAAACUCGGGGUUUGGACUAAAACCCCAAAAAUUUGCAUAUCACAGGGACCAUUUUUGCAAUUUUGUCUUAUGAUAAAUAAAAAAACAACCAAAACAAAUGGAUGAUAUGCCCAAAAACAGAAAACCAUCGUUCAAACAAAAUCACACUAAAUAAUCUACUACAGAAGUAAAAAAAAAAAAAAACGAACACUUUGUAUUCAGUAUUAUCAAAUCAUCAAAUAGCCAACCGAGUAUCUAAACAAAACAAGGCAUCUUGGAUACAACAGAAA